UUCUCUUCUCCCUCUGUUUUCGAGAUCAGUGACCUUCUCAGUGAGAUAUUUUAUGCUUUCUUCUAAUUCAUUAAUUUUUUGGGUUUGCUUUAUUGAUUCUUGCUGUUUUAUCAUCUCGCUUUCUUCAAGUUGCUUGAUUCUGGUCGUUAGGGACUGGUUUUGCUUUUCAGCUUUGUCUGCCCUUCUAUUGGAUGCUUCGAGUUCUUUUUUCCAAUUGAGCAGUCUUAUCUGUCAGACUGCUGAUCUCUUUCUCCCAUUUUUCUUUCCAGGUUUCCAUCUUUUGGAUAAGUUCCAGUUUGAGAUCUUCCAGAGCUUGCUGAUAGUUUCCAUUUUGGGAGAAUCUUUCCUCAAGUGCCAUGUGUGUAGUGGCGAUAUACAAUGUUCAAACCCAACCAAGUGUAAUCCGGAGGAGAAAUUCUGCGUGUUUACGAAAUUGGAGACUGACAAGAGGCGUAUUAUCAAAUAUUGUUCAUCCACCUGUCCAUUCCAGGAUAUUCAAGAAAGAAAGUAUCUACAGUUUUAUGCAGCCUGUUGUGUUACCGACUUAUGCAAUUAUAACAUAUUAGGAGAAGGGCACAAGUUAAGAGUCCGUUUUCCAAUGAUAGCAAUGACAUUGGUAGCAUAUUUCAUUGACGCUUUCCAGAUUGAACCGUGAUAUGUUGAAAUAAAGCUCUGACUCUCCCCA
rnacentral:lncRNA from 1 species